CGCGCAAAAGUCGACGCGUGCUCCCGGGAUACUCGAGUUUCCGACGCAGGUCGGUGUUAACGCGUUAAAUUUCCAUGCAAUCGCGCUGUCGAGCGUUACUAGCUAAUGACGCCAUAUUGGGCAUAUCUUUUCGAUCGCCCGAAUUAUUUCGCGUGUCGGAAACGCAACUUGGCGAUGGGAUUCGCUCGUUUUCAAUCGGUGUAUCGAUUGUGUCGUGAUAUUUCGGUUUGCGGUUGUCGGCACGCACCGCGCACGCACGGGAGCAAUAUUUACAUCUCGUACCGCUCGCGAGUGGCCGAUUCGGCGUAAAAGCGCCCAUGCGCUUUUUAAUGCGCUCAUUAAUCGCGUGCGUAAAAGCAAUCGAGCGUCGCGUCAUCGAGUGAACUGUGCCGCAUCAACUGCCGGCAGCAAUCGGUCGAGCACGCCGGCGAUCCGCAGCUUCGUCCACGUUCGGUUGCGCGACGCGGCGUCCAGUGGAUGUGGCGAAGUCAUUUGAUUGCUCGAAGUCAGAAGAAAAGCUGAGAAGCAGAGCAAACGCGGCGCAAUUUUGGAAGCUGAAUCUGCGUUCUGGAAAACGUCGGAGGCGGACGGCGCAUGCGCAGCGACCGGUGAGUCGAUCCAUUUGUUACUUUUGCGUUUAAUUAUCGUUGAUUGAUUGAUUGAUGUAUCGAUUGUCGCCACUGAUCGCAUUGCAUGAACGUUGUAAUCAAGUAGGAUUAAUCUCUUUUUCGCCUGUUAUUUCGUGAAACUCGCGAGAUGCAGCAGAUUUACCGCAGCGGUGCUCGUGUUCGUCUCGAUGUUUGUUUUGAAAAGCACAAAUAAAAAUGAUCUUUUUAUUUCUUUGAAAGUUCUGCAGAUACUUUGUUGCGAAUAUCAGAAGUCAAAAGCGAAUAGUUUAAGGAACGUUAUGCAGCAUGUUCGAAUUACGUUAAAUCAGAGGUUUCCAUGUUCAAUUAUCAAAGCAUGAUAGUUAACACAGAUUGAUACAAAUUGAUUGAAUCAUUUCCUGCUUAUAUAUUAUUCAUUUCGAAUGUUAAUCAAUAUGUUUGACCCAUAGCGUAAUUAAUUACGAAUAAUGUACAUUUCAUUAUACAUUACAAUCAAUAUUUCCGCGUGUACAUAUCUGUUCCAGAAGACGCAAACGCGAUUUACGUGUGAUCGUUUCGAUGUUUACGUAAAACUGUAAAUGAACUACGUGAUAUAAAGUUUAUUCAAUUUACAUUGCAUAAAUUAAUGUUAUGGUCAAAACUCGAUUCAUGUACAAACUUCAUACGGCAAUUGUCAACUGCCACACAAUACGUGACACAUAAUUGAUUUUGGUAACACGUUCCGAUGUUUAAUAUUUAAUCGUUUUCUAAUUGAAUCGGAGACAAAUUCGCUAAUGAGAGAAUUAAUCUCACUAAAAGUAUUGUUUUAUUUGAGUCGCACUACACAACCGUAAAAUCAAACGUUAUUACAUAAAGUACAUGGAUAAAAUCAUGAAUUGUUAACUGUACUAAACAGUAUUUUCCUUUAUUGCUGCUUCAAAAUCGCAGCAAUUAAUGGUUCAAUGGUGUCAGUUGAAUUUUAUAUAUUAUUUAAUAAUAUAUAUAAUAUUUAGUUUUUGCAUUAUUUCAUCACGUAUCGCAUCCAUAUAUUAUAGACAGAGCCGUAUUUAUUUGAUGAAUAUUACAAUACUUUACACCGAAAUGCUAUUUCGGUGAGUUUUAUGUUUUAUUAAAAAAUUUGAGUCUCUGUCUCUCUCUCUGCGUUGAAAUAUAAUACGAGUAAAAUUUAACAAUAAUAUAUUAUGCAACUAAAUUCAGAAAUCGUUUUUCUUGACGUUGUAAGGAAAGAUAAUGUGUGUGACUAUGAUUUUAUUCUAUAUUUGCAUGGCCGUCAAUAAAAUGAUAAAAAUUAUUUUUGGACUCCAUAAAAAUUUAUAUUCGCGUGAAACAAGUCAUUUGUCGUGCGAGUCGCGUUUAGGUCUAUUCGAUUGCGUGAAUGGCCGCUGCAGCAUUUAACAAGCUCGCGCGAUCUUUAACAACAUAACAUAGUAACAAUGGCACAUUAUAUUAUUUUCCGCGAAAUAUUAUUCUCCCGUCGGUAUCGUAUCGAGUGACCUGCCGCGUUUCACAACGGGCUGAUCGACGCGAACACGAGACGAUAACCGCUGUGGUAUUCGUGCCUCCUUCGAUGUCACGAAAUCUCAUGCUUCGCGGUGAUUAAAUAUGAUUUAUGCAACAAUAACGAAAAAA
rnacentral:lncRNA from 1 species